GCCCGCGGUGCAUUAGCUAGUUGGUAGGGUAAUGGCCUACCAAGGCAACGAUGCAUAGCCGACCUGAGAGGGUGAUCGGCCACACUGGGACUGAGACACGGCCCAGACUCCUACGGGAGGCAGCAGUAGGGAAUCUUCCGCAAUGGACGAAAGUCUGACGGAGCAACGCCGCGUGUAUGAAGAAGGUUUUCGGAUCGUAAAGUACUGUUGUUAGAGAAGAACAAGGAUAAGAGUAACUGCUUGUCCCUUGACGGUAUCUAACCAGAAAGCCACGGCUAACUACGUGCCAGCAGCCGCGGUAAUACGUAGGUGGCAAGCGUUGUCCGGAUUUAUUGGGCGUAAAGCGCGCGCAGGCGGUCUUUUAAGUCUGAUGUGAAAGCCCCCGGCUUAACCGGGGAGGGUCAUUGGAAACUGGAAGACUGGAGUGCAGAAGAGGAGAGUGGAAUUCCACGUGUAGCGGUGAAAUGCGUAGAUAUGUGGAGGAACACCAGUGGCGAAGGCGACUCUCUGGUCUGUAACUGACGCUGAGGCGCGAAAGCGUGGGGAGCAUACAGGAUUAGAUGCCCUGGUAGUCCACGCCGUAGACGAUGAGUGCUAAGUGUUAUGGGGUUUCCGCCCCUUAGUGCUGCAGCUAACGCAUUAAGCACUCCGCCAGGGGAGUACGACCGCAAGGUUGAAACUCAUAGGAAUUGACGGGGGCACGCACGAGCUGUGGAGCAUGUGGUUUAAUUCGAAGCAACGCGAAGAACCUUACUAGGGCUUGACAUCCUUUGAGCACUCUCGAGACAGAGCUUUCCCUUUCGGGGACAAAGUGACAGGUGGUGCAUGGUUGUCGUCAGCUCGUGUCGUGAGAUGUUGAGUUUAAGUCCCGUAACGGAGAAGCACCCAUUGAUUUUAGUUGCCAGCAUUUAGGUGAGGCACUCUAAAGGGAACUGCCGGGUGCAAGCCCGAAGAAAAGGUGGGGAAUUACGUCAAAAUCCUCAU
rnacentral:rRNA from 1 species